GAUGGAUGACAUAGUAUAGGAUUCCUCCAGGGUAGGGUAAAUAAGGGGUUUGGUAAGAAUGAGGAUAGAGGGGAGGGAUAAGAUGGUAGUGGGGGAUAACGCUCGGAAACGGAAACUAUACCGCAUACGUCCUACGGGAGAAAGCAGGGGACCUUCGGGCCUUGCGCUAUCAGAUGAGCCUAGGUCGGAUUAGCUACUUGGUGAGGUAAUGGCUCACCUAGGUGACGAUCCGUUUUUGGUCUGAAGUGAUGAUCAUUGUAAGGG
rnacentral:rRNA from 1 species